AUGAUGAACCGUUGGGAAAUGAAUAAGUUUGACUUGAAAACAAUAGUCGGUGAAGCACUACAAUCUGGUCGACUACCGUUGGCAGUUCUUCAGCUGCAACUGUUGCGCCAGAGGGAAUCAUGUUCUGGUGAUGAUUUUGAUGAUGUUUUCUCCGAAGUUCAUGAAAUAGGAAGAUCCAUUGUUUAUGAUCUGUUAAUGAAGGGUGAAAGUGGACUGGCUGUAGCGACACUAGAAAGACUAGGAGAUGACAUAGAGUCGGACCUUAGACAACUUAUGCAAGGUACUGUCAGACGAGAUGAAACAGCGUGGGUACAUGCAAUCAAAUGA
rnacentral:rRNA from 1 species